AAAUUGAAGAGUUUGAUCAUGGCUCAGAUUGAACGCUGGCGGCAGGCCUAACACAUGCAAGUCGAACGGUAACAGGAAUCAGCUUGCUGAUUCGCUGACGAGUGGCGGACGGGUGAGUAAUGUCUGGGAAACUGCCUGAUGGAGGGGGAUAACUACUGGAAACGGUAGCUAAUACCGCAUAACGUCGCAAGACCAAAGAGGGGG
rnacentral:rRNA from 1 species